rnacentral:lncRNA from 1 species
AGCUAAGUCAACUGCUUUUCUUCAAAUUCAGAUUUAAUCCUUGAGCGAAAUGAGUCACUGGCUCAUCCAGUUAAGAUCAUCACCCACUUUCCUAACAAAACUUCUCUUCAAAGAAGGACUCGCUCAUCCAUCAGGUGCACCUCCACAGGAACAAGUCAUAUCCAUGUCAGGCGGCACCAAACCUAAAUCUGCUUCUGCCUCAGCAGACAGGACAUGUUGAGUUUGGCCAGUGAGUGCUGCAGGAUACUGGAGGGAGGACAACAGAGAGGAAGGUCACCUACAUGUCUAUGUUCAGAAGCUGCCUUGAUGCCACAUGCAGGAGGCUGGAAACGCUGAAGGAUGACCACUGCUCAGCAGCAGUCAACCAGUGAUGGAUGAGAGUUGGUGCACAAAUACCCCAGCUCCCUUGCCUCUCAGUCUGGAUAAUCCUGAAAAGGUGUGUACUAUGCUAUUUCUGAGAUUAAGCCCUAGUUACCCAUAGUGGUAGCUAAAUAUAGUAGUUGGCUGUAUUCUCCAUCACUUCUUGAAUCCCCUGCCAGUGUUCUCUGCACCUCCUUAAUAAACCACUUGAAACAAAAAUCAA